AUAGCUCAAUUUGUUAGAGCAUCCGGCUGGGAAACGGGAAGAUCCGGGUUCGAAUCACGGU
rfam:Habropoda laboriosa contig17072, whole genome shotgun sequence.